rnacentral:ncRNA from 1 species
GGUGACUCUGGAUAAUUGUUACAGAUCGCAGUCGACCUUGCGUCGACGAGGGGUCCUUUAAAUGUCUGCCCUAUAAACUUUUGAUGGUAGGUAACCUGCCUUAUAUGGGGUAAACGGAUAACGGGGAGUCCGGGUUCGAUUCCGGAGAGGGAGCCUGAGAAACGGCUACCACUUCCAAGGAAGGCACCAGGCGCACAAAUUACCCACUCACAGUAUGGGGAGAUGGUGACGAAAAAAUACCCAUGCGGGACUCUUAUUGAGGCUCCUUAAUCGUAAUGAGUGAACUCUAAAUCAUUUCACGAGGAUCAAUUGGAUGGCAAGUCUGGUGCCGGCAGCCGUGGUAACUCCAGCUCCAAUAGCGUAUAUUACAUUUGCUGCAGUUAAAAAGCUUUUAUUGGAUCUCGGUAUCACUGUCGCCUACCAGGACUCGGCUGAUUGGGUCGGUGAAGGUGGGACCUUGGCAUCGCUCGGUGCCCCUUACCCAGGGAUGAUUAUGCUCGAGUUUGCGUGGCGGUGGUUUCAACUUUUCAGCCAUGUCUGUGGUAAAAUACCCGCAGGUGUAGGCGAGGGUAAGGCAGUGUUCUGCGACAGCUUGGUCCGUCGGCUCGUGUGCAUGCUUUUUCAUGCCCUUGAAAAGAUGUCUCUGGGCGGAUGGCAUGUUUACUUUGAACAAAUGUGAGUGCUCAAACCAGGCCGAUGUGGCCAGUAAACGUUUUGAAUGGAAAAGUGGAAUAGAACUUCGGUUCUAUUUCGUUUG